GACGAACGCUGGCGGCGUGCUUAACACAUGCAAGUCGAACGGACGAGUGAGAUAAGUUACUUAACUCACAAGUUAGUGGCGGACGGGUGAGUAACACGUGGAUAAUCUACCUGCAACACCGGGAUAACGCUGUGAAAACGGUGCUAAUACCGGAUACGUUCCCUUGUGCGCAUGUAUGAGGGAAGAAAGCUCAGGCGGUUGCAGAUGAGUCCGCGGCUGAUUAGCUAGUUGGUGAGGUAAAGGCUCACCAAGGCGAUGAUCAGUAGCCGGCCUGAGAGGGUGAACGGCCACACUGGGACUGAGACACGGCCCAGACUCCUACGGGAGGCAGCAGUGGGGAAUCUUCCGCAAUGGGCGCAAGCCUGACGGAGCAACGCCGCGUGGGUGAAGAAGGCCUUCGGGUUGUAAAGCCCUGUCUUAUGGGAAGAAGUCAGUGACGGUACCAUAGGAGGAAGCCACGGCUAACUACGUG
rnacentral:rRNA from 1 species